rnacentral:rRNA from 1 species
UACGCAGGGGGCAAGCGUUGUCCGGAUUUAUUGGGCGUAAAGAGCGUGUAGGCGGCUUGGUAGGUCCGCUGUGAAAACUCGAGGCUCAACCUCGAGAUGUCGGCGGAAACCACUUGGCUAGAGUCCGGAAGAGGAGAGUGGAAUUCCCGGUGUAGCGGUGAAAUGCGCAGAUAUCGGGAAGAACACCUAUGGCGAAGGCAGCUCUCUGGGACGGUACUGACGCUGAGACGCGAAAGCGUGGGGAGCGAACAGG